rnacentral:tRNA from 1 species
GACUCAGAAGACAAAGAAUCUGCCUGCCAUGCAGGAGACCCAGGUUCGAUUCCUGGGUCA